rnacentral:rRNA from 1 species
AUUCUGGCUCAGGAUGAACGCUGGCGGCGUGCCUAAUACAUGCAAGUCGAACGAGGUGCUUUUGUAGCAAUACGAGAGUAUCCUAGUGGCGAACGGGUGAGUAACGCGUUGGUGACCUACCCCAAAGUGUGGGAUAACAGUCCGAAAGGAUUGCUAAUACCGCAUGUGGUCUUCGGAUUUAGAAACUGAUGACUAAAGGAGCAAUUCGCUUUGGGAGGGACCUGCGUCCCAUCAGCUAGUUGGUGAGGUAACGGCUCACCAAGGCGACGACGGGUAGGGGACCUGAGAGGGUGGCCCCCCACAAUGGAACUGAAACACGGUCCAUACACCUACGGGUGGCAGCAGUAGGGAAUAUUGCUCAAUGGGCGAAAGCCUGAAGCAGCAACGCCGCGUGCACGAUGAAGGCCUUCGGGUCGUAAAGUGCUUUUCUGCGAGAUGAGAAAGGACAGUAUCGUAGGAAUAAGUCUCGGCUAACUACGUGCCAGCAGCCGCGGUAAAACGUAGGAGGCGAGCGUUAUCCGGAUUCACUGGGCGUAAAGCGCGUGCAGGUGGUUCGGUAAGUUGGGCGUGAAAUCUCCCGGCUCAACUGGGAGAGGUCGUUCAAUACUACCGAACUUGAGAGCAGAAGAGGAAGAUGGAAUUCCCGGUGUAGUGGUGAAAUGCGUAGAUAUCGGGAGGAACACCAGUGGCGAAGGCGAUCUUCUGGUCUGUUUCUGACACUCAGACGCGACAGCUAGGGUAGUAAACGGGAUUAGAGACCCCGGUAAUCCUAGCCGUAAACGAUGUGAACUUGGCGUUGGUGGGUUAAACUCCAUCAGUGCCGUAGCAAACGCGAUAAGUUCACCGCCUGGGGACUACGGCCGCAGGGUAAAACUC